UGGGGAAUAUUGGGCAAUGGGCGAAAGCCUGACCCAGCAACGCCGCGUGAAGGAAGAAGGUCUUUGGAUUGUAAACUUUUGUCCUAUGGGAAGAAGGAAGUGACGGUACCAUGGGAGGAAGCCCCGGCUAACUACGUGCCAGCAGCCGCGGUAAUACGUAGGGGGCGAGCGUUGUCCGGAAUUACUGGGCGUAAAGGGCGCGCAGGCGGCCGAUCAAGUUAGAUGUGAAAUACCCGGGCUUAACCUGGGAACUGCAUUUAAAACUGGUUGGCUAGGAGUGCAGGAGAGGGAAGCGGAAUUCCUAGUGUAGCGGUGAAAUGCGUAGAUAUUAGGAGGAACACCAGUGGCGAAGGCGGCUUUCUGGACUGUAACUGACGCUGAGGCGCGAAAGCGUGGGGAGCGAACA
rnacentral:rRNA from 1 species